UUGUAAUGCUUUUUUUAUUAAUAUUUGAAAAAACUGUGGCAUUCUCAUAUUAAAGAGACCCAGGGUCCACCCUUCUCUUGGCUCAUUUAAGGGCUAGCCUUCAAUGGGAGAACGUCUUCUGGGCAAUGGCUACUUUCUGAGAAGAAGUGUUUUGUAGUCAGAAACUGAAUCACUGCUUAGAUGAUUUCCAAAGCAGAUUAAGUUGUAACAGGAGGAUCAACAGUACCUUCCUCUACAAUUUUCAAGCUCUACAUGUUGUAACUACAAGCAUAUCUUAGUCACAGAAUCAGCAAGGUUGGAAAAGACCUCCAAGAUCAUCUAGUUGAACUAUCAAAUCAUCAUCUUCAGAUGACUGAUGCUUUCAGCAAAGGUUCCUGUUGAAUACUCAAGGAUAACAAACUGAAAAUAUGUAAAGAAAAAGGAAUAUUGAAAAAAAAAAAAGUGUUUCUAUCCUCAACUAUAUUUGAAAUAAUUUCUUCCUUUGAAAUGGAAUCAGUGUCAUAUGAGGAAAACCCUUCCUGACAUUUCUUUGAAACGGAAAAGGGAGGGGAGGAGAGGAGAGCCAAUUUACUAAAAUGAAAAUUGUUUUAGUGUUCUCAGGUUCUGAUGUGUUCUGAUACGGGUUGAUAAAUCAUAAUAAUUCUAGGAACCCACCACAAAGAGUGGAAAAGGCCCAAGUCUUUCUGACCACAGCUGAAAAAAUGUACUUGUGCAAUUAAAACAUACUUUACGAAAAGAAAAUUACAAACAGUGCAGAACAUGGCAACAAAUCAUGACAAUGUGACAAUGUAUAUAAAACAAAAAUAUUGACUGUGUAUAUAUAGAAUGAAAUUAAAAACUCUUAUCAAAUGUGAAACAUAUAAAAAGUAAAAUUCAAUAAUCUCUAUCAGGAAUUUUUCUACCAGUUAUUAUUUUAUUGAAGUUCAGCAGUGAAUUUUUAAGUAGAAUUCAGAUAGGAACCCGUAGAUGGGAACAUGUGCCUCAUCAUAAUCCAAGUAAGGUCCAAGGGAGCAUCUGGCUGGAGAGCGGAUUUGCAGCAGAGGACAAGGAGUGCUGGUGAACAAUGAGGUGAGAAACAACCAUAAAGGUACCCUUGUAUUAAGAAAGGCCAGCAGACUCUUCAGCUUCAUGAGGGGGAGUCUUGCCUGCAGAUGAAGGGAAAUAAUUGUUUUCUCUGUUCAGCACUUGGUGGGACACACCUGGAGUCCUGGAUCCAGUUCUCAGCUCUCCAGUGUGAGAAAGGCAUGACCAUGUUGGACCGAGUGAAGGGCCACAAACAUGAUGAAAGAACUGGAGAAUCCAUCAAGGCUGAGAGAGCUGGCACUGUUCAUCCUAGGGGAGAAAAGAAUUUUUUUUUUCUCCUUCCUAAUGAGAGAGUGAUCUGAGACAAGCUUUGAGAUGUUUCAGAGUCUCUAACCUCAGAAAUAUUUGAAAUCCAACUAGAUAUGGUCCUGAUAAAACUUGGAGUCAGGCUUGUACUACAUGAUAUCCAGAGGUUCCUUUCUCUCUCAGCUAUUCUGUGAUUGUGUGGUACAACACUGUCCCAAAAGUGUCAGUUUUAAACAAGACCCUGACACUUGGAAGGACUUGUACAGGCUGCAUGAGACUUUGAUGCCAGUUGGAAAAUUUUACAGCCUAAACUGUACUCCAUCUUGGUUUUAAAAAUAAUCUUUUUUCUUAAAAAAAUCUCAGGAGAUUUUUAGAAUACAGUACAAGAAGUUCAUACAUGCUGAGAAGGGAUUGGCAAAAUUAUUUGCGAAUUUCAGUGAAACAAUGCAUCAGGUAGUACUGUGUGAUGCUGCUUCUGCUACUAUGUUUGAUGCUGAGAAUUGUUCAGUACAUGUUAAUAGACCUUUGUGAUCACAUUCUGUUUUCUUUGUUGAAACUGAGGGUCUUUCUUCAUUCCUUAGGGUGUUCUCUCUUUGUUCCCUGGUCUUACUAAUCUUUACCAAAAUUUCACAGUGCAGAAAGGCACUUACUACUCAUUUAUAUGGCAUAAGCAUUCCUUUAAAAAUAAAUAUAUAUAAUUUAUUUAUACAUAAAGCACAAUAUCCCACAUUCACACAAACACACAGAGAGCAUAGUCUUUUUUUUAAUACAUAUUUGAAAGCUUAAACUAGUGUCUGAACAGCUGAGUAACUUUAAUGCUGCAUGCAAAUCAGCUUAAAAAGUAACAAACCUCCGAAAAAUGUAAUAAAAGCCGAUAGUGGCUCAAAUUCUAGAUCUGAUAUGAACUCUCACUGUUCAGAAAACUGCAUUAAUUGUCUUUUAUUUUUAGAAAAUUCACUACAAUAACUUAAAAAGGAGAUGCAUUCUUUAUCAUUGUGGCAUAUCCAGGAAUUUCAUUUUUAUCCUAUAACUAUUCUUUUGGGAACAUGCAGUGAACCAACAAGGCAAAGUUCAUUUCACAAACUUGACAAAGUAGGACAGUGACCUACAAAUGACAAAUUCUAAAAAAAAGAGGCAUGGUUCCAGUUUUCUAUUUACUUGUCUACUUGUUUUUAUAAUUCUGAGAAAAAUAUAAGUUUGAUGUGAGUGCUGGCCAGCAAAAAUAAAACUGGGUGUGCAAGUGAUAUAUUUUAAUGUUCAAAGCUUAUUUCACUUAUUUGCAAGGAAUAUGGAAUUUCUACUUGUUUGAAAAUAAAACAUGAGGCAUUCAACUUUACUUAUGCUGCAGUUUAGAAAUGUACAGGAAAAAAUGCUCAUUUUAGUGUUAAAAAUGUUUGAAUUUCUCUGCACUAAUUCCAGUAUAAUUUGAAUAUGGAUUAAAAUUCUGACAAAUAAAAGAACUGAAACCAAUCUUUACUUAAUAGUAAAGAUUUUAUUGGUGUCCAAAACAAUUAGCUAUCCUUGAAUAACUUGGUAUUUUUCUCUAAAAAAUCUGGAGACUAGAAAAUGUUAAUUUUCCAUUUAUUAGGUACAAGCAAGUCAUCUUUGCCUACUGCUUUCCCCUAAGCUUUUGUAAAGUAGUAUGAAGAAUGAGAACGAGAAAUCAAGAUACUCCAAUCGAAAAGCUCACCAUCUGAACAUAUAUCCAAGAAUGUAAAUUGCACACUGAGCUUUUUUUGUCUUGUCUAAUCAGCCAGAUGACUAAAACUUACAAAUACGAAAUUACUAUGAAUAGCAAAUUUUUAUGGCUGUUCUCCUAACUAACCUAUAAAAACAUAGCACAUUAUCAUGAUAAAUGAUCUUCAGGCGUUUGGAAUAUGAUGAGCACUUGUUUAAAAAAAUGUGUGUUUUAAAGUUUG
rnacentral:lncRNA from 1 species